AUACUUACCUGGCAGGGGAGAUACCAUGAUCAGGAAGGUGGUUUUCCCAGGGCGAGGCUUAUCCAUUGCACUCGGGAUGUGCUGACCCCUGCGAUUUCCCCAAAUGUGGGAAACUCGACUGCAUAAUUUGUGGUAGUGGGGGACUGCGUUCGCGCUCUCCCCUG
ensembl:snRNA U1 U1 spliceosomal RNA